UGGGGAAUUGUUCGCAAUGGGCGCAAGCCUGACGACGCAACGCCGCGUGGAGGAUGAAGACCUUCGGGUCGUAAACUCCUUUCGAUCGAGACGAAUGGCCUCCGGGUGAAUAAUCCGGAGGAGUGACGGUACCGAGAGAAGAAGCCCCGGCUAACUCCGUGCCAGCAGCCGCGGUAAUACGGGGGGGGCAAGCGUUGUUCGGAAUUACUGGGCGUAAAGGGCUCGUAGGUGGCCAACUAAGUCAGACGUGAAAUCUCUCGGCUUAACCGGGGAUCUGCAUCUGAUACUGGAUGGCUUGAGUUUGGGAGAGGGACGCGGAAUUCCAGGUGUAGCGGUGAAAUGCGUAGAUAUCUGGAGGAACACCGGUGGCGAAGGCGGCGUCCUGGACCAAUACUGACACUGAUGAGCGAAAGCCAGGGGAGCAAACGGG
rnacentral:rRNA from 1 species